UUUAACGGCUGCGGUAUUUUGACUGUGCUAAGGUAGCAUAAUCAUUUGCUAUUUAAUUGGUAGCUGGAAUGAAAGGUUAAACUAGUUUGCUCAGUUUGUUAUGUUUUGUAAGAAAUUAAAGUCGAGGUAAGAAUUCUUUGAUCUGCUAGGGGACGAUAAGACCCUAGAAGCUUAACAAUAAGAGUAUUUAUUAGUUAUAAAAAUUAAUUUGUUUUACUGGGGCGGUAAAGGUAUAUGAACUAUUAGUGUAUUGAUAGAUCCUUAAAAUAAAGAUAAAACGGGAAAGUUACUCUAGGGGUAACAGUGCAA
rnacentral:rRNA from 1 species